GGUGACCUCCUGGGAAGUCCUUGUGUUGCACCCCUU
rnacentral:rRNA from 1 species